rnacentral:snoRNA from 1 species
UCUGCCCACGAAUAACCAAUCUGUGAAACGAUACCGUUUGGUUCAGACAUGGGCGCACAGCGAUUCGAAGCCAUCUAAGGGAUGACCAACUCUACUAUUCCUUGUGUUCAUCCUUUUGUUGUUUUACAACUCCGCUUCGGACAUUU